AUUUGCCCUAUUUUCUCCGUUUUUAAGCCCCUUAUUUGCCCUCUAGCUAAAUCCCCGCUUUUUAGCCCCUUAUUUCCUCCUUUACCCCCCUAUUUCCACUCCUGUUAUCCCCUUAUUUCCUCCUUUUUAGCCCCUAAUUCCCCCCUUUUUUAAUCCCUUAUUGCCCAUCCCUUUAAUCCCCCUAUUUCCUCCUAAACCCCGCUAUCUCCCCCUUUUUAUCCUCUUAUUCCCCCCUUUAUCCCUUAUUCCCUCCCUUUACCCCCCUAUAAACACCCUUACCCCCCUAUUUCCUCCUUUAUUCCCCCCUUUAUCCCCCUAUUUCCUCCCUUUACCCCCCUAUAAACACCCUUACCCCCCUAUUUCCUCCUUUAUCCCCCCCUUACCCCCCCUAUUUCCUCCCCUAUCCCCUUCCAUAUCUCUUUCUCCUUUCAUUU
rnacentral:lncRNA from 1 species